UACGUAGGGUGCAAGCGUUGUCCGGAAUCAUUGGGCGUAAAGAGCGUGUAGGCGGCUCGAUCAGUCCGCUGUGAAAGUCAAAGGCUCAACCUUUGAAAGCCGGUGGAUACUGUGGGACUAGAGUACGGAAGAGGCGAGUGGAAUUCCUGGUGUAGCGGUGGAAUGCGCAGAUAUCAGGAGGAACACCAAUAGCGAAGGCAGCUCGCUGGGACGUUACUGACACUGAGGCGCGAAAGCGUGGGGAGCGAACAGG
rnacentral:rRNA from 1 species